rnacentral:rRNA from 1 species
UCUGGCUCAGGAUGAACGCUAGCUACAGGCUUAACACAUGCAAGUCGAGGGGUAACGGGAGGGAAGCUUGCUUCCUUGCCGACGACCGGCGGAUGGGUGAGUAACGCGUAUCCAACCUGCCCUUCAGUAAGGGAUAGCCUUUCGAAAGAAAGAAUAAUACCUUAUGUGAUCGUUUGAUGACAUCAGACGACGAUGAAAGAUUAAUCGCUGAAGGAUGGGGAUGCGUCCCAUUAGGCAGUAGGCGGGGUAACGGCCCACCUAACCGACGAUGGGUAGGGGUUCUGAGAGGAAGGUCCCCCACAUUGGAACUGAGACACGGUCCAAACUCCUACGGGAGGCAGCAGUGAGGAAUAUUGGUCAAUGGCCGUAAGGCUGAACCAGCCAAGUAAGCGUGCAGGAUGACGGCCCUAUGGGUUGUAAACUGCUUUUAAACGGGGAUAAAGUGGGCCACGUGUGGUUUAUUGCAGGUACCGUUUGAAUAAGGACCGGCUAAUUCCGUGCCAGCAGCCGC